AGCGAACGCUGGCGGCAGGCCUAACACAUGCAAGUCGAGCGGCCGUAGCAAUACGGCAGCGGCAGACGGGAGAGUAACACGUGGGAACGUACCCUUCAGUUCGGAACAACCCAGGGAAACUUGGGCUAAUACCGGAUACGUCCGUAAGGAGAAAGAUUUAUCGCUGAAGGAUCGGCCCGCGUCUGAUUAGCUAGUUGGUGAGGUAACGGCUCACCAAGGCGACAAUCAGUAGCUGGUCUGAGAGGAUGAUCAGCCUCACUGGGACUGAGACACGGCCCAGACUCCUACGGGAGGCAGCAGUGGGGAAUAUUGGACAAUGGGCGCAAGCCUGAUCCAGCCAUGCCGCGUGGAUGAUGAAGGCCCUAGGGUUGUAAAGUCCUUUCGGCGGGGAAGAUAAUGACGGUACCCGCAGAAGAAGCCCCGGCUAACUCCGUGCCAGCCGCCGCGGUAAGAC
rnacentral:rRNA from 1 species